rnacentral:lncRNA from 1 species
GCCCUCUUGCUCGUCUACUAUACUUUGUCGACUCUGCCUUGCUUCUCUAUGAUUUCUACGAGUUGUACUUGCAAUUUCACUGUCAAAUAAUAGUGGCCUCGACGGGUUUCUUCUAGUCAUAAACUAAAGGAACCUAACAGAAGCAAAUAAAAGAAAAAUUAGAAAAAAAAAUCAAACUAAAAACAAAAAGAAAAUGCAAUAAAAAUAAAUGGAUAAAUUAAUAAAAAUCAUGUGUUCCUAAUAUUUUAC